GUGACUGCGGAGGAUCAUUAUUGAAAUAAACCUGAUGGGUUGUUGCUGGNUCUCCAGGGAGCAUGUGCACACCUUGUCAUCUUUAUAUCUCCACCUGUGCAUCUUUUGUANGCCUUUUANGGCNAUGUUGCUUCCUCUACCCCCCUGUAGGUUAACANAAUGNUGUGAAUACNAAAUAUAUACAACUUUCA
rnacentral:misc_RNA from 1 species